rnacentral:rRNA from 1 species
GUGGCGCAGUUAACGCGAUAAGUCGACCGCCUGGGGAGUACGGCCGCAAGGUUAAAACUCAAAUGAAUUGACGGGGGCCCGCACAAGCGGUGGAGCAUGUGGUUUAAUUCGAUGCAACGCGAAGAACCUUACCUACCCUUGACAUCCAGAGAAGUUGGCAGAGAUGCCUUCGUGCCUUCGGGAGCUCUGAGACAGGUGCUGCAUGGCUGUCGUCAGCUCGUGUUGUGAAAUGUUGGGUUAAGUCCCGUAACGAGCGCAACCCUUGUCCUUAUUUGCCAGCGAGUCAUGUCGGGAACUCUAAGGAGACUGCCGGUGACAAACCGGAGGAAGGUGGGGACGACGUCAAGUCAUCAUGGCCCUUACGGGUAGGGCUACACACGUGCUACAAUGGCCGGUACAAAGGGUUGCGAGACCGCGAGGUGGAGCGAAUCCCAGAAAGCCGGCCUCAGUCCGGAUCGGAGUCUGCAACUCGACUCCGUGAAGUCGGAAUCGCUAGUAAUCGUGAAUCAGAAUGUCACGGUGAAUACGUUCCCGGGCCUUGUACACACCGCCCGUCACACCAUGGGAGUGGACUGCACCAGAAGUGGUUAGCUUAACCUUCGGGAGAGCGAUCACCACGGUGUGGUUCAUGACUGGGGUGAAGUCGUAACAAGGUAGCCGUAGGGGAACCUGCGGCUGGAC